GUAGUCACGAGUUUGAUCAUGGCUCAGAACGAACGCUGGCGGCAGGCCUAACACAUGCAAGUCGAGCGCCCCGCAAGGGGAGCGGCGGACGGGUGAGUAACGCGUGGGAACGUACCCUUUGCUACGGAAUAGCCUCGGGAAACUGGGAGUAAUACCGUAUGUGCCCUUCGGGGGAAAGAUUUAUCGGCAAAGGAUCGGCCCGCGUUGGAUUAGGUAGUUGGUGGGGUAAUGGCCUACCAAGCCGACGAUCCAUAGCUGGUUUGAGAGGAUGAUCAGCCACACUGGGACUGAGACACGGCCCAGACUCCUACGGGAGGCAGCAGUGGGGAAUCUUAGACAAUGGGCGCAAGCCUGAUCUAGCCAUGCCGCGUGAGCGAUGAAGGCCUUAGGGUUGUAAAGCUCUUUCAGUGGGGAAGAUAAUGACUGUACCCACAGAAGAAGCCCCGGCUAACUCCGUG
rnacentral:rRNA from 1 species